rnacentral:lncRNA from 1 species
AAUGGCAGUGCUGAGCCUCGUGUCGGAGUGAGGGGGACUCGGAGGAGAGUGGGGCGCUCUAGCCGCUCAGUCCGGCCGACCGCUUGCUCGCCCGCCCGCUGCCGCGCAGCAGCCUCGACCCAAGCCGCAGCUGGCGAGGGGAGGCAGGGCGCCGGGCUCGGCCCGCGCUCUGACUCUGGCUCCCGGCGCCCCGGCUGCUGCCGCGCGCCCUCCAGCCCGCCCGUCCCGGGUCCCCCUCCC